CUUCCGCCCCAUUCCGGCCCGGUUUCAAUCCCCACCUCCCACCCUCCGGAUCCAAUCCGGAUCGACGCGGAGAGGUAAGGGCGACGGGGCGCGGCAGGCGGCGCGCUCGUGGGCGAUGGCGCGCGGAGAGGGGAGGGCGCGGCUGGCGGCGUAUGAAGGUUCGCGGGCGACGGCGCAGCGGCACGGCAGCGCACCGGCGGCGAGCUUUCACCAGUAAACCGCCGCCUCUGUCUCCUCCUUCCCCUCUCCGCGUUUCUUGGAUCUUGCCGUGUCGGCAGUCUCCUCGGGCGGCACCGGCGGCGGUGGAGGCGUUGAGGACGGCACCGGCGGCGGCUGAUCCAAUCCCAGUGCGGCGGAGGCGUUGCGCAACAUGAAGCUAGUGGCCGAGUACGUGCGUGGCUGCUGCUGCUUCUGAAGGAGAGCGUCAUCGCCUUGCUUCACUGCUGCUGAAGAAACUUGGGUGCUGCCUUGUGACACGAAUGGAGUGAGUAGCAGCGCAGAGGGGUAUAGGGAGAUGCUAGCUUGUUGUGCUCAUGUAUAGAAGUGAGUGGACAAUGUAUAAUUGAUAGGGAUAUUUGCUUGCUAUAGAGAUCCGAAGGUGCCUGAGAUCCUCAAUUUGCUAUCUAAAAGUUCCUCUGGGACUUGCUUAUUAUGACCAAAACUGAGUGCCACCCUGUCCUGCCAUUCAUUGCACAUUGCUAAUUUGCAAUGGCCUCCUCAAGUCCUCAGGCUCCAUUUGUGAUUGUGAGGAUCCAGUAAAUUGUUAAGUUUUCUAUUUUUCUAUCAAUUUCUAUAAUGACUUUGUCUGGCUCGAAGUAGGCUGUAGUUGUUUUGUUUACAAUUUUUCACCAUUACUGUUUGUUAGUUUAAUAAGUGAGUAGAAGUGAUUGGCAACCCUCUGAAUUUUCUUGAUUGAUAACAUGUGAGUUCACAGAAAAGAACAAUUGCUGGACCAGCAGCCCUGCAAGUAUGAGCAUGUGGCCAACUUUGUGUUCAAUUGGAGGUUUCUUUUGCAACCAUCUACCUGAUACACGCUGUUGUAUUUGGUUAAUGUUGAUGAGACCCAAGUUUGAGAUGAUGGACGGCAUGCAAUGCAAUUGCUCAUGCGCUAUAUAUCUCUAUCUCCUGCUCCUCUUCCUCCUUUAGAUCUCUAUAUCUAGCUUUUUGAUUGACAGAUUGAGUGAUGAUUGGUUUGGAGUUGUUAUCUACAACUGUUGUGCAAGUUUCAGAUAAUAUCCUCUUGUAAUUUAAGUGUGAAGAACUCUAUUACUGCAUUUUUCUUGUUUACUAUUGUAUUUACUGAUGGAUGAAAGCCUGUAUGAUGGAUGGAUGGAAGCAUGCAUGUAUGUGUUUUUUUUUUGAGACAGCAUGCAUGCAUGUGUUAUAUAA